CGAUACGACCGUACCGCAAACCGACACUGGUGCGCGAGAUGAGUAUUCUAAGGCGCUUGAGAGAACUCAGGAGAAGGAACUCGGCAAAUUGACACCGUAACUUCGGAAGAAGGUGUGCCCUAUUAGUGUGUAGUGAACAACGAAGCAUGAAUGGGUUGCAAAAAAUCGGUGGCUGCGACUGUUUAUUAAAAACACAGCACUCUGCAAACACGAAAGUGGACGUAUAGGGUGUGACGCCUGCCCGGUGCUGGAAGAUUAAAUGAUGGGGUGCAAGCUCUUGAUUGAAGUCCCAGUAAACGGCGGCCGUAACGAUAACGGUCCUAAGGUAGCGAAAUUCCUUGUCGGGUAAGUUCCGACCUGCACGAAUGGCGUAACGAUGGCCACACUGUCUCCUCCUGAGACUCAGCGAAGCUGAAAUGUUUGUGAUGAUGCAAUCUCCCCGCGGAAAGACGGAAAGACCCCAUGAACCUUUACUGUAGCUUUGUAUUGGACUUUGAACAGAUCUGUGUAGGAUAGGUGGGAGGCUUUGAAGCAGGUUCGCUAGAUCUUGUGGAGCCAACGUUGAAAUACCACCCUGGUGUGUUUGAGGUUCUAACCUAGGUCCAUUAUCUGGAUCGGGGACAGUGCAUGGUAGGCAGUUUGACUGGGGCGGUCUCCUCCCAAAGCGUAACGGAGGAGUUCGAAGGUACGCUAGUUACGGUCGGACAUCGUGACGAUAGUGCAAUGGCAUAAGCGUGCUUAACUGCGAGACUGACAAGUCGAGCAGAUGCGAAAGCAGGACAUAGUGAUCCGGUGGUUCUGUAUGGAAGGGCCAUCGCUCAACGGAUAAAAGGUACUCUGGGGAUAACAGGCUGAUACCGCCCAAGAGUUCAUAUCGACGGCGGUGUUUGGCACCUCGAUGUCGGCUCAUCUCAUCCUGGGGCUGUAGCCGGUCCCAAGGGUAUGGCUGUUCGCCAUUUAAAGAGGUACGUGAGCUGGGUUUAAAACGUCGUGAGACAGUUUGGUCCCUAUCUUCCGUGGGCGCUGCAGAUUUGAGGAAGCCUGCUCCUAGUACGAGAGGACCGGAGUGGACACACCUCUGGUGUAUCGGUUGUCACGCCAGUGGCAUUGCCGAGUAGCUAAGUGUGGAAGAGAUAACCGCUGAAAGCAUCUAAGCGGGAAACUCGUUUCAAGAUGAGAUCUGCCGGGGCCUUGAGCCCCCUAAAGAGUCGUUCAAGACCAGGACGUUGAUAGGUCAGGUGUGGAAGC
rnacentral:rRNA from 1 species